GGUAUUGAUUGGUGCUUGCAUCAUGAUUUACAUUUGAGUGAGUGGCGAACUGGUGAGUAACACGUGGGAAACCUGCCCAGAAGCGGGGGAUAACACCUGGAAACAGAUGCUAAUACCGCAUAACAACUUGGACCGCAUGGUCCGAGNUUGAAAGAUGGCUUCGGCUAUCACUUCUGGAUGGUCCCGCGGCGUAUUAGCUAGAUGGUGAGGUAACGGCUCACCAUGGCAAUGAUACGUAGCCGACCUGAGAGGGUAAUCGGCCACAUUGGGACUGAGACACGGCCCAAACUCCUACGGGAGGCAGCAGUAGGGAAUCUUCCACAAUGGACGAAAGUCUGAUGGAGCAACGCCGCGUGAGUGAAGAAGGGUUUCGGCUCGUAAAACUCUGUUGUUAAAGAAGAACAUAUCUGAGAGUAACUGUUCAGGUAUUGACGGUAUUUAACCAGAAAGCCACGGCUAACUACGUGCCAGCAGCCGCGGUAAUACGUAGGUGGCAAGCGUUGUCCGGAUUUAUUGGGCGUAAAGCGAGCGCAGGCGGUUUUUUAAGUCUGAUGUGAAAGCCUUCGGCUCAACCGAAGAAGUGCAUCGGAAACUGGGAAACUUGAGUGCAGAAGAGGACAGUGGAACUCCAUGUGUAGCGGUGAAAUGCGUAGAUAUAUGGAAGAACACCAGUGGCGAAGGCGGCUGUCUGGUCUGUAACUGACGCUGAGGCUCGAAAGUAUGGGUAGCAAACAGGAUUAGAUACCCUGGUAGUCCAUACCGUAAACGAUGAAUGCUAAGUGUUGGAGGGUUUCCGCCCUUCAGUGCUGCAGCUAACGCAUUAAGCAUUCCGCCUGGGGAGUACGGCCGCAAGGCUGAAACUCAAAGGAAUUGACGGGGGCCCGCACAAGCGGUGGAGCAUGUGGUUUAAUUCGAAGCUA
rnacentral:rRNA from 2 species